rnacentral:rRNA from 1 species
CGCUCAAUGAAAACUUUUUAUAUUGAGUCGAACCUGCCCAGUGAUUUUAAUUUAACGGCCGCAGUACUCUGACUGUGCAAAGGUAGCAUAAUCAUUUGCCUUAUAAUUAAAGGCUAGUAUGAAUGGUUUGACAAGAAUGAACCUGUCUCUUAUAGAUUUUAUAGAAUUUGGUUUCUAGGUGAAGAAACCUAGAUAUAAUUAAAAGACAAGAAGACCCUAUCGAGCUUAAAAUAACUUUUUUGUUAUAGUGAUAAUACCAUAUUCAAAAAAAGAUUUUGGUUGGGGCGACUAAGGAACAAAAAAAGCUUCCUAUAAAUCAUAAUUACUUUUAAGUUUUGAUCCAAAAAAAAAAUUUGAUUAACAGAAUUAGUUACCGUAGGGAUAACAGCAUAAUCUUUUCCAAGAGUUCUUAUCGAAGAAAAGGUUUGUGACCUCGAUGUUGGACUAGGGUACCCAGAAAGGUGCAGAAGCCUUCAAUGGUUGGUCUGUUCGACCACUAAUACCCUACA